rnacentral:rRNA from 1 species
GCCAGACUCCUACGGGAGGCAGCAGUGGGGAAUAUUGCACAAUGGGGGGAACCCUGAUGCAGCGACGCCGCGUGGGUGAAGGAGCACCUCGGUGCGUAAAGCCCUAUCGGCAGGGAAGAAAAGCGAACAGGUUCGCCUGGACGGUACCUGAAGAGGAAGCCCCGGCUAACUACGUGCCAGCAGCCGCGGUAAUACGUAGGGGGCAAGCGUUAUCCGGAUUUACUGGGUGUAAAGGGAGCGUAGACGGCAUGGCAAGUCAGAUGUGAAAGCCCGGGGCCCAACCCCGGGACUGCCCUUGGAACUGCAUGGCUGGAGUGCGGGAGGGGCAGGCGGAAUUCCUGGUGUAGCGGUGAAAUGCGUAGAUAUCAGGAGGAACACCGGCGGCGAAGGCGGCCUGCUGGACCGCGACUGACGUUGAGGCUCGAAAGCGUGGGGAGCGAACAGGAUUAGAUACCCGCGUAGU